GUAGGUCACAAGCGUUGUCCGGAAUUACUGGGUGUAAAGGGAGCGCAGGCGGGAAGACAAGUUGGAAGUGAAAUCCAUGGGCUCAACCCAUGAACUGCUUUCAAAACUGUUUUUCUUGAGUAGUGCAGAGGUAGGCGGAAUUCCCGGUGUAGCGGUGGAAUGCGUAGAUAUCGGGAGGAACACCAGUGGCGAAGGCGGCCUACUGGGCACCAACUGACGCUGAGGCUCGAAAGCGUGGGGAGCAAACAGGAUUAGAUACCCUGGUAGUCCACGCUGUAAACGAUGAGUACUAGCUGUCGGAGGUUACCCCCUUCGGUGGCGCAGCUAACGCAUUAAGUACUCCGCCUGGGAAGU
rnacentral:rRNA from 1 species